rnacentral:pre_miRNA from 1 species
GUAGUUGGAUUCAUAUCAAUCCACAUGUGCUUGGUUGAUUGGAGUGAAACUUGAGCUAAAUUUUAACCUAAUCUGCACUAACGUAUGUGGAUUGAGGUGAAUCCAAUA